rnacentral:misc_RNA from 1 species
AGAAUUAAAAGAACAAGAGCCCCUCGAUGUUGCCCCUUAAUGUUUUAAAGACCCUUCUAGCACCGAUUAAAAAAAACCAUUGACAGAAGUCGGGAAAAGUUUUUGUCUGAGUGCGCCGCCUCUUCAAUUAUUGAUUUUGGGUUGGACAAAUGUCUCAUAGUCCAAAGAAAAUUGUGGUCUUGCUGUAAAACACGCACGUAAUAUGCUGUAAAUAUUUCUUAAACCCAAUACUCUUUGUCAAAAGUUACCACCAUCCUUUAACAACCCUAGUUCCUAUUUUAAGUAUGUUUUCAGUGUUUCUUGACUAUUGAUUCUUAUUUAAUGUAAUAAUUAUAAGUGUCAGUGACUGUUAAAAUGUUGUUAUUGGUUUGAUAAUUAUUUUUUUGUUUUUCAAAUACUCAGUUGGAUUCUAAUGGAUUUUAUUUAGUUUAUUGGGAUUGUGAUAAAGCCAGAUACUGCUCAGAGUUUACCGGAAGAUUAUGGCAAUUAAAUUUAUAUGUUUGAAAUAUUAGAAAUGAACAGUUUGACUCUAGCAUUAGAUAAAAUUGAUGUAUCUGAGAACACUGAACAAAUUAGUAAAUUAUUUCCAAAGUGCAGACCAAGAAGUGAUAUUAACCUAAAUCCAAUUGUUGCCUCUGGGAGAGACCAUGAAUGUAUUGAGAAUACAACAAAUACUAUCAUGAGUGUAGACAGUGAAAAUGAUAGAUGGAUAGCUGAUAGUUCCUGUAACAUCAAUAGAGAUAGUUUAGGUCAGCUCCAACUAACAGAUGAUGACGAGAUUAUUAUUGAACACAAACACACAGGAGGAGCCUAUAAAUUACGUGAUUCUAGGAUUAUCGAAAUUGCUGGCGGUCGAGAGAUAUAUUCCCAGAGUAGAAGUAAAGCUCUUAGAAAAUCUCGCAAUUCUCUAGUGGGAGAAGAUGGGGAAAAAAAGAACCAGAAAUCGCCUAUGAGGCAAGGUGUAUGGGAGCUACGUGCCCGAGGGGAGACGAAGAAGGCACAGAAUUCCCGCAACUAUACCGAGACCGUAUUUUCUUCAGAAGUAUGUUCAGUGGCUCACGAGAAGAAUACUGAAGGUGCUUUGGACAAAUCUAGUUCAAUAAAUAUGACAUUUCCUGGUGAAGUGGUAGUUUUUGACGAUAUAGGUGAAACAUGGCAUAAUGAAGAAAAUAAGAGUAUUCAAACCGAACACUCGCACACUGCCACAAAAACUUUCAAUACAAGCGAUACUGAAAGUGAAAAAGUUACCAAAGUUAUUGGAAAUUUGCCCAUUGCCGUCUACGAAGGCUCGCCUAGACGAUAUGGGCAAAGGCAUUCCGAUACGAACUAUUCACACCCCCAGCUUCCUAGUGCACAAAGUUUAUUGGCUUCUCCUAGUGUUUAUCCACCUCGACCAGGCUUUCCACAACGAGUCGUCAACACACCCAGCCCCGUAGAAAAGGAUUUGAAUUUAAACAUUGAACACAAUUCUACUAAUAAGAAACCCAUAUCUCCAAAUGCAACAACGUCUACGUUCGAUUAUUUAUACGAAUUUUCGGAAACUAGAAAAGUGUUGGAAGAAUUUUUCAAGUGUCCUCCAACAGAUGAAGAAAAUCGACUGGAAGUAGAAUUUCAAGAUUUAGAAUAUGAAUUACGUAGGCAAGCUAGUGAAUCUGGGAAUUCGUAUGUUGGUCAAAGGUUAGCAAAGAAUUUACCAGGAGAAAAUGAUUUUUGUGUUCGAAUAGACUCCCCUAGGAAAUGUAUAAAUAAUAGUAAUAUUUCUAAUAUACAGGAUCAAGAUAUAACAGAGCGUGAGAACAAUUUUUUAGACUUAUCCAUUGGGACAGGAUCUAGUGGUGAUUUAGGUGAAACUGAAGUAGGUUUACAAGUAGGACAUAGUAGGAAUUUUACCCUCUCUCCUGAAACUACAGAAUGUGACUCCAAUUGUGGAGAUUUAGAUAGCGAAGCAUCUUUAAUGUUAAUGGAAAAUGAAAUGGGACCGUCUGGUGGACUGUUAGGAUCAAAUACAGAUUUAGUUAUCCCUAGUGAUUCUUUACGCUUAUACUCUAGUAUGCCAGUGUUAGAAGAUGGUUUAUCCUCCGGACACGCAAGUGAUACCGAUAAUAAUAACCCAACAGUAAUGCUUAUGAAACGACAAAUAACGGAAAUAGAAAGAGAAAUUCAUCAAGGAAUUUGUAAGUCGAAUUCAACAAAGAUCAAUGAAAAUGGUCUUUCGCCUAAAAACGAAGUACGUAAUUCGUCUCCUAUUGAUAUCAAUGGUUGUGUUAGUAGUUUUGAAGAACCUAUGACUAUUUCUCAAACAGACUCACUCGAAAAAACUCCCCCUCCUCCAGCUCCUGCACCACACCGUUUACUGCAGGGAGAAAAGACGAGUGAUGUCGAAGCAGCUUUAAAAGAUAUUAGAUUAACUUUACAAAGAACUAAGACGUUGCCGUUACAACGUCAUCCUGAAGAAGAUUGCGAAGAAAACGCAGCUAGUCCAAUAUGGGUCCCAAGUCAUUUCAGGCAACGGGGGCUUUCAACUACGAGUGGGGAUUCGGAGCGCAAAGUUAAUAGCGGGGGAGAAGAAGAAGAAAAUGAUACUGAUUUGGAGACGGAUCGACUGUUAGGGCAGCAAAGAACUGAUGACCAGGGUUUUUACGAUGAUAAGGGUUGGAGAAAACCUAAAAGUCGGACUAUAAUGCCUUCGUUAAAUCUAGCAAAUCCUAAAAUUUUAAAUAGUAUGGAUGAAGGUACCCUUCCUUUAGUCCCUUCUGAAACACAAAUUUCUGAUCCUUCUUCCCCGUCAGCUGUAUCAGAAAAAAGCCAAUCGCCUCAAAUCCAAAAAGGACCCAUAUCUUCAAAUAGAAUUAAAAAGGAUAAAGAAAACAAAAAGAAAGGCAGGAAUAAAGAAGAUGUGAUUCAACGUUCAGUGUUGAUAGAGGGUGUCCUAUUUCGAGCGAGAUAUUUGGGGUCUACUCAACUAGUAUGCGAAGGACAGCCUACGAAGACCACAAGAAUGAUGCAGGCUGAAGAGGCGGUCUCUAGAAUAAAGGCACCAGAUGGAGAAAGUCAGCCUAGUACAGAAGUUGAUUUGUUUAUUUCUACAGAGAAGAUUAUGGUACUCAAUACAGAUUUAAAAGAAAUAAUGAUGGACCACGCUUUGAGAACUAUUUCCUACAUAGCAGAUAUUGGUGACCUAGUGGUGUUAAUGGCAAGAAGGCGGUUCGUGCCUCAUGAAAUGGAAGACGCUCCAAAGAUAAACCGGACUCCAAAGAUGAUUUGCCAUGUUUUCGAAAGCGAAGAGGCUCAAUUUAUUGCUCAGUCCAUUGGACAAGCAUUUCAGGUAGCUUAUAUGGAAUUUUUAAAGGCGAACGGAAUUGAAGAUCAUAGUUUUGUUAAAGAAAUGGAUUACCAAGAAGUUUUGAAUUCGCAAGAAAUUUUUGGUGAUGAGUUGCAGAUGUUCGCCAAAAAAGAAAUGCAAAAAGAGGUUGUGGUACCGAAAGCAAAAGGCGAAAUUUUAGGGGUAGUUAUCGUUGAAUCUGGGUGGGGAUCGAUGUUACCAACGGUGGUAAUAGCAAAUUUGGCUCCUGCUGGCGCUGCUGCUCGAUGUGGUCAGUUGAAUAUUGGCGAUCAAAUCAUAGCGAUCAAUGGGGUCAGCUUGGUAGGACUUCCAUUAUCCACAUGCCAAACGUACAUAAAAAAUUCCAAAAAUCAAACUGUAGUUAAGUUAACUGUAGUACCUUGUGCACCCGUUGUUGAAGUAAAAAUUAAGCGACCAGAUACUAAAUAUCAACUUGGCUUCAGUGUACAAAAUGGAGUGAUUUGCAGUUUACUUCGAGGAGGAAUAGCAGAGCGGGGAGGAGUGAGGGUGGGGCACAGGAUAAUUGAAAUCAAUAAUCAGAGUGUUGUGGCUGUACCUCAUGAAAAAAUUGUAAAUUUGUUGGCCACUUCAGUAGGCGAAAUUCUCAUGAAAACAAUGCCGACUUCCAUGUUUCGUUUGCUUACUGGACAAGAAAAUCCUGUCUACAUUUAAGUUGAUAUUAACCGAGGUUCGAAAGUGCCUACUUGUAGUUGAUAUUGAACUGUCCUUGGGAAUUGUUUUGAUUUUGAUCGUGCUUGAAUCGCAGAUCAAUAUAUUUUUUAUUUUUAGAAUAAGUUCAACAGACUGAAGACAAUACAAGCAAAGAACUGCGCUCUGCACAAAUCUUUUUGCGCUGAGCUUUCGUGAUAGACCAUAUCUCCGCUUUGUCGCGUAUUAGUUCCAUCUUUUAAGCUAAAUCAAAUGAAAAAUCAUAUUGUCGUAGACUUAUUGUUGACGUUGUAAAUUGCUCGGGCGUUUCACGAAUCAACGAGCCAUAUUUCAUGGGUAACAAAUUAUUUUACCUAUUAAUAUUUUAUUAAUAAUGGUAUCUUGAACAUAAUUAAAUCAAAAUAAUAUAUAAAAUUCAUAAAAUAAAUGUGUAAUUAAAUAUUUCCAUGUAAUAUUGCCAACAUGUUUUUUAUCCUUAAAUUCGAUUGAAAGUAUUAGCUAGUAGCUCAUCAAUGUAAUUUUAAGUGUAUUUACCACCCAUAGAGAAAACAUACUUGAGUAAUUCCGUAUCAAUAUCAACAUUAUUUACACUACGGUAUAUUUUUCUGCCCAACGCUUCUGAAAUUACAAUUUUUGUUAUACUUAAACUAUCAAUAUAUUUGUAGUUGAUUAAUUGAUUUCCUUUUUAUGAUUCUGAAACUAUUUUCUUGUGACAUUUUUAUAUUAACUACUAUAUUUACUUAAUGGGAAUAAACCACAAUUUUAUUUAAAUAUAGGUCAUAUUUGACAUUUUCAUGAUGUCUCUGGUAGGGAUGGCGGUUGUUGACAAAACACCGGUUUUCGGUUAUACCGUUUUUUUUUAUCUACGGUUUAACCGGUCAAAAAAACCGGUUACUCCAAAACCCGGUGUUUGGUUUUUUUAGCCAUAGUCAAUACACAGUAGGUUACAUUUACAUUGCGCUUUAGUUUACGUUACUCCAUUCGAAUCGAUAUCAGUCCAUAUCAGUAUAGAAAUCAGUCAUCAGUGAUGUAAAAUCGGUUUCAGUCAGCUUAAAAUUUCUCAUUUAAGCGCGGGUGGUGAAAAAUUUACCCAUUUUUUCUCUGAAUUCGGUCUUUUUUCCACUUAUCCGGGUUUUAACCGGUUAUUACUUUAAUAGGAAAAACCGGUUAUAACCGGCACAAAAAAAAAACAACCGAAAAAACCGAUUAUUGCAUAGGAAAAAACUGGUUUUAGGUUAUAACCGGUAGGAUUUUCCCAUCCCUAGUCUCUGGAGAAUUCAAUAAUUGACACUUUGGGUUUUAUGCCUUUGUCGAAUGGGACGAAUUUUUUUUUCCUCUAUGUCUAUUCGUUAAUGACAAUUUCGACAAUUUCUGGACUAUAUUCAUAUAUAUUUGACCUUUUCUUCGUUAUUAUAUAUUACACUAGGUUGUGUUGUCUUAAAUAACCUUGACUUUGUGAAGUCUAAGUCCACUGUUUGGUUUUGGGGCUAUUUAGCAAAUAAAAAAGUAAGUAAUCAUAACCACAUUUUCUUUUUCUAACAGUCGAAAUUUCACCCAUAUUUUUCAAAUUUAAUUAAGUGGGAUUACUUCCUUCUUUCCAAUUACUUCCAAUAUAAACGUAAAGAAGACAAAGCUUAUGAUCAAGAAAAAGAUAACAGAAGGUCACCUCUACAUCAACCAAACCCCUGUAGAAAGAGUGAGGCACUACAACUACCUCGGCACCAUAAUAAAUGAAGAUUGGACCAAUAACCAAGAGAUAAAAGAGCGCAUCGGAAAGGCUAGAUCAACCUUCAACCGUAUGGGGCCCUUUUUCAAGAGCCACAAUCUUUCUCUUGGUAUAAAAGUAAGAAUGCUGAGAUGCUACGUCUUCUCUGUCCUUUUUUAUGGUGUUGAAUCAUGGACCUUGAACGAAGAUAUGUGCCGAAAAUUGGAAGCAUUUGAGAUGUGGCUAUAUGGGAGAAUUCUUAAAAUCCCAUGCCCUCUUACAAGCCAUCCUGCAAGGAAAAUAUUUGGAAAACGAGGUCCAGGAAGAAGAACAUCGAGGUUAAAUAACCUCAGAACCUAGUUCAACACAACAUCUGUGAAGAUAAAGAUUGCCAUGAUGAUCGCCAACAUUCGUCACGGAUAGGCACAUCAAGAAGAAGACUUCCUUCUUUGUCGGUUCACUGAAGGUGGACUGAUAGGUCUGAAAACGUUUGUUCUGAACACUUACGUAAUCACUGGAUUUUUUAAAUUUUAAUUCCUAAUUAAAAUUAUACCAAUUACAACAGGAGUUUUGCCUUCGAUGUAAAAGUUAUGCAAUAUAUUUUUAAUUAAAAUUGUGAGUUAUUCCCAUUAAAUUAUAGCAAUUAAUACGGUUGACAUUGUCGGGCGUUGAUUGAAUUUAGGACUUAGGAAAAUCGUGAAGCGCCUCAGCUCUACAGAAAUACUUUCCAAUACGCUUAGGUCCUAUUUAACGUUCAUACACUCUUUCAAACACAGUUUGCUCAAAAUAAGCGUUGUGAAUUAAAAAUAAAGCAGUUUGUCUAAUUCAUAUUUUAUUUUUCGAAUGAAACAUGUAGCUCACUAGAUAAAAUGAACUGAACUUUGCUACAAACUAAAGUCAAAUCAUUUUAGGUUGAAAGUUGUGUAUGAAUGUUAUGAUUUUUCCAAGAAAACACUUUUGUUCUAUAAAAUUACAGAUGAAGGUACUAUUUAUCUAGUGUUCAAUCAAAAUAAAUGUUUUCUAAUAGAAUGAGUAAAGCUAUACUAUUAUAAAUAUUGUAUUAGAGAGCGCGACCUCUGAAUACUAAUGGAACACUAAACAUUAUUGUUUGUUGUCCUACGAGGAAGAGGAAAAAGCAUAACUCUUAGAAAGCCAUGGGACAUAUUUCUUCCUAGAUUGUCUUCUUUGAUUCCUUUUUCUGGAUAAAAAUAAUGCAGGUAAAAAGGUUGAAACAUUCUUCUAAAAGAUAUUUUACAUUAAUAAAAACAACACUACCAACUAUUUAUCUUCACAAAAAGUUACAAAAUCAAUAAUACCACUCUAAUAUAUUACAUUUUUUUUUAUUACUGUGUCUCGACUACUUAACGUCAAUACAAUUUACAGUAAUAGGCGAAAUGACCAUCUUAGUGUAAUUUGUCACUCCUUGAUUUAACAUAACAAAUAACCUUUGUUUCUUCUUUUCCCCUCACAUCUAACUGAUAUCUUCAAGUUUUGCAGUGUGAAAGGGAUUUCAAUUUACUUGGUAUUUUCAGUCUUACAAUGUGAAAGGAAUUGUACCCCAUUCCACUGUGUGUUCAUAACCCUAAUUUUUAGUUCCAAGCGACUAUUAGGUCUCAUAGGUUGAAUCGGAGCAGAACCACCAACAACGAAUUAGGUUGGAAAUUGACAUUGGAUCUAUAUGGAUAAUGAUGAUAUUUGGUGUACUGGUGUGUUGGAUAAAGUUCUUGGUUUGUUUGGUUACUCUGGGUUGUUUCAUAAACAUUAUCCAGAAGACUUGAUCUCUUUAAGUGUUACAGUGUGAAAGGAAUUGCACCCCAUUCCACUGUCUUCACUGUUUCUUAUUGAGUUUGACAGUAAUUGUCAACAAACAAUUUACUUGGUAUUUUCAAGUCUUACAGUGUGAAAGGGAUUGCACCCCAUUCCACUGUGUGUUUACAACAAUCAACUAAUUUUUUAGAGGCCUUGAUAGAAUUCUAUUGCUAAUUCUGUGUUCUAUCCUUUAAAUUUACUAUGAUUUCAUAAUUUAAUUAUAUUCGAAUUGAAACUACUUGUCUCUUUGAAGCAGUAACUGUGGGAUAACUGAUCCGUACGAAUAGAUGUAUAGCCGAUUUGGUUGGAAAUUGACAUUGGAUCUACAUGGAUAGUGGUGACAUUUAGUGUUCUGGUUUGUUAGAUAAAGUUCUGGGUUAGUUGCCUUCUUCCUUAUUCUACGAGAUUCAAGGGCAUGCUGAGCAGAUAUUGCAUGGAGUUAGUGUAUAUUCUCUCAUGUUUGAAGUGAGUAGACAUAUUCAAGUUCUUGUUUCUAAAGGAAUAUACGCUUUCUGCCUUUGAAGAAGUAACUCAGGGAUAACUGAUCCGUACGUAUCCAUGUAUAGCCGAUUAGGUUGGGUUGGAAAUUGACAUUGGAUCUACACGGAUAGUGGUGACAUUUGGUGUUCUGGUGUGUUGGAUAAAGUUCUGGGUUAGUUUGGUUACUCAAAGUUGUUUCAUACAAUUAUAACAUCCGAAAGACUUGAUCUCAUUAAGUGUUACAGUGUGAAAGGGAUUGCACCCCAUUCCACUGUCUUCACUGUCUCUUAUUAAGUUUGACAGUAAUUGUCAACAAACAAUUUACUUGGUAUUUUCAAAUCUUACAGUGUGAAAGGGAUUGCACCCCAUUCCACUGUGUCUUCACAACCAUUAACUAAUUUUUUAGAGGCCUUGGUAGAAUUCUAUUGCCAAUUCUAUGUUAUAUCCUUUAAAUUUACUAUGAUUUUAUAAUUUAAAUAUAUUCGAAUUGAAACUUCUUGUCUCUUUGAAACAGUAACUGUGGGAUAACCGAUCCGUACGAAUAGAUUUAUAGCCGAUUUGGUUGGAAAUUGACAUUGGAUCUACAUGGAUAGUGGUGACAUUUAGUGUUCUGGUUUGUUGGAUAAAGUUCCGGGGUAGUUUGGUUAUUCUGAGUUGUUUCAUACAAUUAGAACAUCCGAAAGACUUGAUCUCUUCAAGUGUUACAGUGUGAAAGGGAUUGCACCCCAUUCCAUUGUCUUCACUGUUUCUUAUUGAGCUUGACGGUUAAUUGUCAACAGACAAUUCACUUUGUAUUUUCAAGUCUUACAGUGUGAAAGGGAUUCCACCCCAUUCCACUGUGUGUUCACAACCAUAAACUAUUUUUUUAGAGGCCUUGGUAGAAUUAUAUUGCCAAUUAUAUGUUAUAUCCUUUAAAUUUACUGUGAUUUUAUAAUUUAGUUAUAUUUGAAACGAAACUAUUUGUAUCUUUGAAGCAGUAACUCAGGGAUAACCGAUCCGUGCGUAUCCAUGUAUGGCCGAUUAGGUUGGGUUGUAAAUUGACAUUGAAUCUACACGGAUAGUGGUGACAUUUGGUGUUCUGAUGUGUUGGAUAAAGUUCUGGGUUAGUUUGGUUACUCUGAGUUGUUUCAUACAAUUAUAACAUCCGAAAGACUUGAUCUCUUUAAGUGUUACAGUGUGAAAGGGAUUGCACCCCAUUCCACUGUCUUCACUGUUUCUUAUUGAGUUUGACAGUAAUUGUCAACAAACAAUUUACUUGGUAUUUUCAAGUCUUACAGUGUGAAAGGGAUUCCACCCCAUUCCACUGUGUGUUGACAACCAUCAACGAAUUUUUUAGAGGCCUUGAUAGAAUUCUAUUGCCAAUUCUAUGUUCUAUCCUUUAAAUUUACUAUGAAAUUAUAAUUUAAUUAUAUUCGAAUUGAAACUUCUUGUCUCUUUGAAACAGUAACUGUGGGAUAACCGAUCCGUACGAAUAGAUGUAUAGCCGAUUUGGUUGGAAAUUGACAUUGGAUCUACACGGAUAGUGGUGACAUUUAGUGUUCUGGUUUGUUGGAUAAAGUUCUGGGUUAGUUUGGUUACUCUGAGUUGUUUCAUACAAUUAUAACAUCCGAAAGACUUGAUCUCUUUAAGUGUUACAGUGUGAAAGGGAUUGCACCCCAUUCCACUGUCUUCACUGUUUCUUAUUGAGUUUGACAGUAAUUGUCAACAAACAAUUUACUUGGUAUUUUCAAGUCUUACAGUGUGAAAGGGAGUGCACCCCAUUCCACUGUGUCUUCACAACCAUCAACUAAUUUUUUAGAGGCCUUGGUAGAAUUCUAUUGCCAAUUCUAUGUUCUAUGCUUUAAAUUUACUAUGAAAUUAUAAUUUAAUUAUAUUCGAAUUGAAACUUCUUGUCUCUUUGAAACAGUAACUGUGGGAUAACCGAUCCGUACGAAUAGAUGUAUAGCCGAUUUGGUUGGAAAUUGACAUUGGAUCUACACGGAUAGUGGUGACAUUUAGUGUUCUGGUUUGUUGGAUAAAGUUCUGGGUUAGUUUGGUUACUCUGAGUUGUUUCAUACAAUUAUAACAUCCGAAAGACUUGAUCUCUUUAAGUGUUACAGUGUGAAAGGGAUUGCACCCCAUUCCACUGUCUUCACUGUUUCUUAUUGAGUUUGACAGUAAUUGUCAACAAACAAUUUACUUGGUAUUUUCAAGUCUUACAGUGUGAAAGGGAUUCCACCCCAUUCCACUGUGUGUUGACAACCAUCAACGAAUUUUUUAGAGGCCUUGAUAGAAUUCUAUUGCCAAUUCUAUGUUAUAUCCUUUAAACAUCCUAUGUUAUAUCCUUUAUUUACUAUGAUUUCAUAAUUUAAUUAUAUUCGAAUUGAAACUUCUUGUCUCUUUGAAGCAGUAACUGUGGGAUAACCGAUCCGUACGAAUAGAUGUAUAGCCGAUUUGGUUGGAAAUUGACAUUGGAUCUACACGGAUAAUGGUGAUUCUGGUGUGUCGGAUAAAGCUCUAGGUUAGUUGAGUUACUCUGGGUUGUCUCAUAAAAUUAUAGUAUUAUCCAAAAGACUUAAUCUUUUUUAAGUGUUACAGUGUGAAAGGGAUUUCACCCCAUUCCACUGUCUUCACUGUCUCUUAUUGAGUUUGACAGUUAAUUGUCAACAGACAAUUUACAUGGUAUUUUCAAGUCUUACAAUGUGAAAGGGAUUGCACCUUCGACUCCACUGUGUGUUCACAACCAUCAACUAAAUUUUUGGAGGCCUUGAUAGAAUUAUAUUGCCAAUUCUCUGAUCUAGCCUUUAAAUUUACUAUGAUUUUAUAAUUUAGUUAUACAUAUUUUAUUUGAAUUGAAACUAUUUGUGCCUUUGAAGCAGUAACGCAAGGAUAACCGAUCCGUACGAAUCCAUGUAUAGCGAGUUAGGUUUGCCCUUUUGCCUCAGUCUUCAUCGAGACAAGCUUGUAUAAGCUCCAAGCGACUAUUAGGUCUUAUAGGUUCAAUCGGAGCUUUAUUUUGCCAAGAAGAAUGUCAGGUAUUUUGCAAACGAAACUGUUUAAGACUCUCACUGUUGCUAUUCGCUAUUUGAUUUUGAUUUUGCCAAGGAAUAUGUCCAGUAUUGUCAACAUUUUUAAUUUGACUUUUCCAAUCUAAAAGCGUAUUAUCCUCACUAUUAGCAGUAGUAGUUUGAUUUUUAUUUGGCAAAUGUAAGUGUCCAAUAUUGUCACUGUUUAUAUUGAUAAUAUGAUUUUGAUUUUUUCGAUGUAAAUCCUCAGUACUAUGACACUCUGCAUGUCUUUUUUUAUCGUUUUGUGCUGCCUGUUUGCAGUUUUUGUAACUGCAGUAAUGUUUUGCUAUGGUGGGGACACCAUCUACGGAUAUUCUCCUCCUGUCAAGUCCCCUACUGCUACUGGUACUGGUAUUUUGAUUUGGAGAAAUAUUAGAUUGAAUAUUUUUAGCACUGGCAGUUUGAUUAUUUUUAAUAUGAGUUGUAUCGGUUGGGAUAGAAAUUGACAUGGGAUCUACACGGAUAAUGGUGACAUUUGGUAUUCGUGUGUGGGAUAAAGCUUUGGGUUAAUUCGGUGACUCAGGGUUGUAAAUAUUAUUCAGAAGACUUUGAUCUCUUUAAGUGUUACAGUGUGAAAGGGAUUGCACCCCAUUCCACUGUCUUCACUGUUUCUUAUUGAGCUUGACGGAUAAUUGUCAACAGACAAUUUACUUGGUAUUUUCAAGUCUUACAGUGUGAAAGGGAUUCCACCCCAUUCCACUGUGUCUUCACAACCAUCAACUAAUUUUUUAGAAGCCUUGGUAAAAUUCUAUUGCCAAUUCUAUGUUAUAUCCUUUAAAUUUACUAUGAUUUUAUAAUUUAGUUAUAUUUGAAACGAAACUAUUUGUAUCUUUGAAGCAGUAACGCAGGGAUAACCGAUCCGUACGAAUAGAUGUACAUAUAGCCGAUUAGGUUGGAAAUUGACAUUGGAUUUACAUGUAUAGUGGUGACAUUUAGUGUUCUGGUAUGUGCUGGGUUAGUUUGGUUACUCUGAGUUGUUUCAUACAAUUAUAACAUCCGAAAGACUUGAUCUCUUCAAGUGUUACAGUGUGAAAGGGAUUGCACCCCAUUCCAUUGUCUUCACUGUUUCUUAUUGAGCUUGACGGUUAAUUGUCAACAGACAAUUUACUUAGUAUUUUCAAGUCUUACAGUGUGAAAGGGAUUCCACCCCAUUCCACUGUGUGUUCACAACCAUCAACUAAUUUUUUAGAGGCCUUGGUAGAAUUCUAUUGCCAAUUCUAUGUUAUAUCCUUUAAAUUUACUAUGAUUUUAUAAUUUAAAUAUAUUCGAAUUGAAACUAUUUGUAUCUUUGAAGCAGUAACGCAGGGAUAACCGAUUCGUACGUAUCCAUGUAUGGCCGAUUAGGUUGGGUUGUAAAUUGACAUUGGAUCUACACGGAUGGUGGUGACAUUUGGUGUGUUGGAUAAAGUUCUGGGUUAGUUUGGUUACUCUGAGUUGUUUCAUACAAUUAUAACAUCCGAAAGACUUGAUCUCUUUAAGUGUUACAGUGUGAAAGGGAUUGCACCCCAUUCCACUGUCUUCACUGUUUCUUAUUGAGUUUGACAGUAAUUGUCAACAAACAAUUUACUUGGUAUUUUCAAGUCUUACAGUGUGAAAGGGAUUGCACCCUAUUCCACUGUAUCUUCACAACCAUCAACUAAUUUUUUAUAUGCCUUGAUAGAAUUCUAUUGCCAAUUCUCUGUACUAUCCUUUAAACUUAUGAUUUCAUAAUUUAAUUAUAUUCGAAUUGAAACUAUUUCUCUUUAAAGCAGUAACUCAGGGAUAACAAAUCUGUACGAAUCCAUGUAUAGAAGAUUAGAUUAGAAACUGAUAUCGGAUCUACAUGGAAAAUGGGGAUAUUUGUUGUAAAACCUUGAACAAUUUUCAAAUGUUGAACAGAGUUCUAGGUUAGUGUGUUUACUUUUUUUUGCAGUACUAUUUCUUAGUUACUGAAUUUCGUACUUUUUUGGUUACCGUUUUAACUAUGAUCGCUAUACCAAUAUGUAUUAUUAGUUGAUUCAUUUGAAUUCUUGAUAUGUUGAUUUAUGUCAGAAUUUUGGUACAAUAGUACUGAAUUUCAUCCUUUAUAACCCUUCUAGGAGUUAGUAGUGUUAGCUUUGAUUCUCAACACUUAUACCAGUUUAUAUUUAGAUUAUUUAAAGUGCUACGACAAGAAAACACAGAAUUUAAAGUUGAUUUAAGUGUUCCCAGGAAAGAAAUUUAAUCAAGAUACCAGUACUGCCUGUCAGGUGUGAUAAUAGACUGCUCAAUGCAUACUAAUCUAUUUGAUUCACCACAGUACAGUAAGAUUAAAUACUGGUUUAUGCUUGAUCUAUCUUCGUCUUUAACCAUUAGUAUGCCAUCACUUUUAGAGUUUUUUGACAGUUACUUCCCGACGGUACGUUCAAGUCCGACUUAUUUUUUCGCUCAUAACUUUUUAAAAUAACCCAAAAGCAUACUAUAGAGUACCUAUAAAUGUUAUUGUGUAUUUAACACGAAAUGCUUUGAAUAACAUUUGAAGUAUUAAACAUGAGCUGAUAAGUAAUAAAUGAUAUUUAACGGAACAUUCUUAAAAAAAUCUACUUCAGCACUUGGGAUAUAAGGAUACCUGAGUUUGUUGGUAUGUACUUAAAAGUACCGUCGGUAGACUAAGGGUUAAACCUUUUUUUCUUAUGUUACACAGAGGUAUGCGCUUUUUUUAAUGAGUUAAGUUGAUUAGGCUUUUUGGCAGUAGACAGGAAUAUCUGGAACCAACAAGGUCAGACCGAUCGAAUACUUUGGUUACGCGACGUUGUCAAAUCAAUCGGGUUCAAAGGUUUUUCGAUUUUUUAUUUGUUACCUGUUUCCCAGUAACUUUUCUUUCUGCUUACUCCUGCUAAAUUUUAAAACAUUGUGUAUAAUUUCACGAGCUUGUACAUUAUUUUUUUACGGCACUUUAUUCAUGUUUAUUAAAAAACUAUUUCCGUCGACCGUCCAUUUAUGAUCAAUUUUAACACCCUCAAAAUCAUUGAUUAAUGACCCCUAUUAAUGAAUGAUUUUCUAUUAAUGAACGAUUUCAUUAUAGGCAACACAACAUACAUUGCUUGCAUAAAUUAAUUAAACGCUGUGAUUGGCAGUGACCUGUGGUGUAGGCAACCAAACAUAUACCUAUUUAUAUUCCCACUAAAAAAUUUAAAAUCAAGUAGCCGCUGUCGCUGUAGUUUCAAGUUAAUGAAAGCUGAAAAAAUUGUUGUUUAUCGUUAAGUAAAUAAAAAUUUAAACUAAGAUAUCUUUAUUUCUGAAAAGUACGGUCGACGGAAAAGUUUUGUAACGAACUCGUGAAUUAAAAUGGCGAUUAACAAUCUCGAACAUUAACGCGCUCGAUCCGCUCACGCGUUAAAAUAUCUCAAUUGUUAAUCGCCCUUAUUAAUACACUUGUUGGUUAAAUAACUAUUAAAUGUAUUCUAAAUAAACUACUAUUCAACGAUUUUAUCUGCCAUUGCCGCAAAACCACUGAUUUGGUGCACAAUGCAUUUUAAAUGGAUGGUUACUCUGCACAAACGCGUUCAACUGAGGUCCCCUCUCCUUGAUUUGCUACCAAAGUGACCUUCGCGCUUUCAGAUGUUUCUGUACCAUUGUACAGAAAUAUAUUGUUUAAAUUAUUUGCUUUGUUUAAUUUUUCUUUCAAAUGUGAGUGUAAAGAAUAAUCUGGAUAAAUAGUAUCGUCCUUUAUAAGCCCAACACUAAAUAGUAGCUUCUUAUUUCUAAUACCCAUACAGCUCCAACUGAACUAACUGCAUUAUAGUUGUUUAUUCGUUUAUUCGGUGAAUGUGAAAAGCAUACCAAAGACUGUUGGUUGGCUUGAAAGAAUAUUUCAUUUUAAGUCAUACAAUAAAAAAGACAUGAACAAAUGUUAUUUUGAUAAAUUAUCUGUAUUUCACCUAAUAUUUAUUCUGAUACAUUUUUCAUACCUAACCACCAGUUUGAAAUAAAUGUAAUUGACACAUUAUUACCUGCUGUGCCACCAUAAAGACAGGAAUAAAUCAUGUACAUAUCAUCCAAGUUAAACAAAUAUCCACUUUUCUUGUAACAUAAACCAUUCUUAAUCCUUCGGUAUGGACAUGUCAAAAUUUAUGUAUGAAUAUUACAUAAUGGGUUUAGCACACAGAAAAUUAACAAACCUUUCAAAGCUCUAGUGUUUACCCAGUUAUUAAAGCCACAAUCAUGUUAAUAGAUUUUAGAUGCCUCUUGAACAUAAUUAUUCCGAUGGUAUUUUUUAUGUUCAAUAAGUAAAUUAUGCUUAAAUUCUCUAUAAUUUGAUUAUAUAACUAAUAUUCUUUAUAUAUUGUUGUUUGGUAGGUCCGUAUUCAUUUGGUGAGACUAUACACAUGAUACAGCGCUGCUGUCUAUACUAAAAUACACACACUAAAGAUACACUAGAAAUAAAAAAAAACAGUGCAUCUUUAUUGUGAUUCUAGUAUAAAUAUAAAUUGGAGUAGAGAUUAGCUUCAACUAUUUUUAUAUUUAUACAAUGCGAACCUUUAACUAUUUUAUUCUUUCUUUAUUCUCUUCUUUAUUUAUUUAUUCUCUGAUACACUAUACCAGACAGAAAAAGAUUAAUUAUCCACUAUUCAGUGAGCACGUAAAGGUUGGAAUAAAUUCAUUUUCUCGAGAAUGGACGAUUUUGGAAAAAAAUCUUGAAACAGGUCAAUUUUUAUUUUUAAAGUACGACUUUUUGGCAUAUAUUAUAUUAUAUUAGUGACGUCACCCAUCUGGGCCUGAUGACGUUUUCGAUGAUUUUUUAAACGAAAAUAGGGAUCGUGUGAUAUCUCAUUUGAAAGGUAAUUCAAUUCUCUAUUCAGUAAUAAAAACAUUAACAUAAUUAUUUGUACAGGGUGUCCAAAAAAAAUUUUUUUGAAUUAAAUUUAUUGACAUAAAAAGAAGAAAGUGUGUAAUUUAUUUAAUUCAAAAUGCAUUUAACUGCUAUUAGAAAACAGUAAAAAAUGUUUAUUUGGCAAAUAAAUAUUGUUUUUUUGCUUAAAUUCAAUAUUAAAGCAGCCACCCACCAGCCUCGUGACAGUUUGACCAUUUAAUUUAAGCAAAAAGCCAUGAUUAUUUUUCAAAUAAAUAUUUUUUCGGUAUUCUGAGAGCAGUAAAAUGUAUUUUGAAUUAAAUAAAUUACAUAGUCUUCUUUUUAUGUCAAGAAAUUUAAUAAAAAAAAAAUUUUUUAGACACUGUAUAAAUAAUUAUGUUAAUGUUUAUAUUACUGAAUAGAGAAUUGAAUUAUCUUUCAAAUGAGCUAUUAUAUGACCCCUAUUCUCAUUAAAAAAAAUAAUCGAUGACGUCAUCACGCUCAGAUGGGUGACGUCACUAGUAUGAUAUAUAUGCCAAAAAGUCGUAAUUUAAUAAUAAAAAUUGACCUGUUUCGGGAUUUUUUCCAAAAUCGUCCAUUCUCGAGAAAAUGAAUUUAUUCCAACCUUUACGUGCUCACUGUAUAUGUGUCCUUUGUAUAAUUAAAUUCUUCGAUAUAUCAUUAAGGAUUACUUUUUAUGGUGUUGAAACUAUUUUUUUGACAUUCCAAUAUUUUAUACUCUAUUUAAAGGCAAUAAACCACAAUUUUAUUUGAAAAUACAUUAUGUUUGAUCUUAAGAUUUCUACCUCGGAUAUAACUCCAAAAUACAAAUUAUUACUUGGAAGUCAAAACAAAUUUUCUAAUAGUUUAAUUUUAAUUGCUUCAUUCAAAUAUAAAGUAAUAAGAGAUACGUCAAAUAUAUCGUAUUUUUCAUUAAAAUUGUGGUUUAUUCCAACUGAAUAAAGUAUAUGUGAUUACUUCUGUUGUCUAAACAUUUGAAAUGAUAACGCUUUUUGUGUAUUUCUCGUAUCUUUGUUUUCUAUUUAUAUAUAAUUUAUACAUAUUGUUCAUUUCUUAUUAAAAAUAGAAACUAUUAUAGAGGAUUCCGAAGAAAACAAUAUACAGUGUGCCUGAUACUACAUCUGAACAAGAAAGUAUGAGGUUGGUUAAAAAAGGUGCUUUGUGAUAAAAAUUUAUUUAUUCGUCAAUAUCUACUUUGGUUUAGACACGCACUUUUAGAGCUUUCCUAGUCACGCAGUAUUUAUCUCUUCAAUCAUGGCAAAACCAUCUCCCUUUUAGAGAUGUAUUGUGGUCCAUCAUUAAGCUUCAGCACCUCGGAUAGUUUGAUUAAUAAUAUUUCUCCACUGGUCGCAGUCAUCUGUUACAUGUACUGCCACCGUAUACUGUUUUUUAAGAGUCUGCCCAUUGCUGUGGAGGUCUGCCGCGUUGGCGUUGACUCUGAGGCCUUCCACCAACCACCAACCGCUCCAUUUUGUGAUAGCUUCGAUGCAUAUGACCAAAGAACUUUGAUAUUUCAGAGUAAACAGUACUAGAGAGACGUUGAUUGGGUUUAUUUUCACCUAGAACAGAGAUAUUCGUGCGACAAGCAUUCCAUGGAAUUCGAAGCAGUCGUCUCCAUGUCCACAUUUCAAAAGAGUCAAUCCGUCGUCUAUCUGAUUGAUCGACUGUCCAUUUCCGGCCCAGGAAAGGACCAGAGUUGAAAAGAGUAUCUUCUUGUUUGUCAUAGUAAUGUGACGAUCAAGUCAUACUCCUUUAAUUCAGUCAUUGCUGAUCUAGCUAGUUUUAUGCGUCUUCGAAUUUCAGAUUCACAACUGCCUGUGUUAUUAUUUAAAGUCUAGAUCUCCAAGAUAUAUCUUAGAGAAGACUACCUCGUACCCCGCAAUAGUUCAAAUAGUUUCAUAAUGUUGUUGGCGAUCAAUAUCCAUGAUUUUUGUUUUGUUGUAGUUAACCAUGAGUCCACUUAGCACUUUCUACAUCGAGUUAUGUGAAUAAGUUAGAAAUUUCUUCAGCAGAGGCUAGAAGGAUAGUGUCGUCUGCGAAACGCAAGUUAGAUAUCUUGACACCGCCUAGGUUUAUUCCGCAACCAUCCAAAACUCUGCACAUUAUGAACUCUAUAUAGAUGUUAAAUAAUAAGGGAGUUAAAGUGCUCUUUCACCAAAGUCCAUUCGUCAGAUAGGCAUCCGUCCAUUCAAUAGCACAAACUCGACAAGCACACCAAAACACAUCUAACUCUUAUAAAUGUUAAAAACAAAUUGAAAAUACAAAAUGGCUGAUAAUGUCAAUAUAUCUUAAGUACAAGUGUACCAAGAUAUCUGAAAAAAAAUCGAAGGUACAUAGCUCGAAAAUUUUGCAAAGUCACCUUUUUAACACACCUCUUAUAAAUGAUUUUAAAUUUUUCCUAUACACUCUUUAUAUCAUUUUCGUAGCUUUUUCUUCUAGCACUGACCCUGGAGUUUUUCGUCUCUACAGUAUAAAUGGUAACAGACUCUAGCGUUGUAUGUAUUCAAACUUGUGGCGUUUUUCAUAUUUUUUUGGUCUUUAUUAAUUCUACGUUAGACUUCAUUCUUUCAUUCAUAAAACUCUCGUAUAUUUAUAAAACAUUAAAAUUUUGCUUGUUGUAUCCUUCAAUGUUCAAAUUUUAAUUCCACAGAGAAGAACGAUGAAUAAAUAAAAGCAAAAAGCCCAACAAAAUAGUUGGUAAAGUUUCUUGAGUCACUUUCAUAAUAUACAGGGUGAUCAAGUUUUGUGCAAUUAUAGGAGAUACCAAAAAAGUUAUAUAAAAAUAGGAAGUAUCUAUAAGCUUCACAUUUUAAAAUUGGUUACAAAUAUACAGGGUGUUCCAUAAUACUGUACUGUAUAACAUAAAACAAUUUUAUAUUCUUGUAACGAGGAAGUGAAUCAGAUGUUAAAUUGAAAAUAAAAUUCAGGGUGUUGCAUUAAAAAAUACAUGAUGCGACACAGUGUUAUGAAAGACCCUGUAUAUUUGUAACUAAUUAUAAAAUGUGAUACCUACACCUUUGUCACAAAAGUUGAACACCCUGUAUAUAGUCAAUUGAAGAGUAAUAGAAAAUUUGUAAAUUAUAACUACAAUUAACUCAACGUUUGAAUCUGGAAUGUGGAGUUCCGCGUAAAACAGGCUGUUUUGUCAAGAUUAACAACUUGUAUAAUAUAAAAUAUAAUCCUUAUAUUUAUUUGUAAGCGUAUUUAUGGAAUACACUGUAUAUAUAGAAUUUACUCGUAUACGUUAUUAUUUAGGCAAAUUUUUAUCGAUCGUUUAUAUAUAUGUAUAUUUGUACUUGUUUUGUAAACUGAACAUAUUUUAGAAUUUUUAGUUGUAAAUGUUAAAUAUGUUAUACUUUUAUUAAAUGUUCAGUUUUGAUAAUUGCGAAUGGAACAGGUAGUAGUGUGGCAGAAGAAUCAUUUUGAAUAACCUUACAGUUAUUAAAAUAUUUUUUAUAUAAAAGAAACCAAAGUAUAGCGUUUUAAAACUGUAUAUCUAUAUGAACUGGUUUUGUGUUAAAUGAAAAAUGUAGUCACAUUUGUUUAUAAUUUUUAGUAAUAACUUUUAAUGUGUAUAUAUUUAAAAACGAUGCUAUAACUUAAAAGACAAGGGUAAAAAUAUUGUAAUGUGCACUAAAUAUUAUUAAAUCAUUACAAACUAA